GGUUAAGUGAAUAAGGGCGCACGGUGGAUGCCUUGGCACUAGGAGCCGAUGAAGGACGGGACUAACACCGAUAUGCUUUGGGGAGCUGUACGUAAGCUAUGAUCCAGAGAUUUCCGAAUGGGGGAACCCAACAUCUUUAAUAGGAUGUUAC
rnacentral:rRNA from 1 species